rnacentral:rRNA from 1 species
CACGUAGGGUGCGAGCGUUGUCCGGAAUUAUUGGGCGUAAAGAGCUCGUAGGCGGUGUGUCGCGUCGGCCGUGAAAACCUGCAGCUUAACUGUGGGCUUGCGGUCGAUACGGGCAUCACUGGAGUUCGGCAGGGGAGACUGGAAUUCCUGGUGUAGCGGUGGAAUGCGCAGAUAUCAGGAGGAACACCGGUGGGCGAAGGCAGGUCUCU